rnacentral:rRNA from 1 species
GUGACCUCAAAUCAGGUAGGACUACCCGCUGAACUUAAGCAUAUCAAUAAGCGGAGGAAAAGAAACUAACAAGGAUUCCCCUAGUAACUGCGAGUGAAGCGGGAAAAGCUCAAAUUUAAAAUCUGGCGGCCUUUUUGCUGUCCGAGUUGUAAUCUAGAGAAGUGUUAUCCGCGCUGGACCGUGUACAAGUCUCCUGGAAUGGAGCAUCAUAGAGGGUGAGAAUCCCGUCUUUGACAUGGACUACCAGGGCUUUGUGAUGCGCUCUCAAAGAGUCGAGUUGUUUGG